AACUUUCAGCAACGGAUCUCUUGGCUCUCGCAUCGAUGAAGAACGCAGCGAAAUGCGAUAAGUAAUGUGAAUUGCAGAAUUCAGUGAAUCAUCGAAUCUUUGAACGCACCUUGCGCUCCUUGGUAUUCCGAGGAGCAUGCCUGUUUGAG
rnacentral:rRNA from 2 species